GCUGCUCGGAUAAUCACACACCUCUUUGUGGUGAGCAGCAGGCAACGAUCUGUGAUCGGCAGAGAUGUGAUA
rnacentral:ribozyme from 1 species